rnacentral:rRNA from 1 species
ACGAACGCUGGCGGCAUGCCUAACACAUGCAAGUCGAACGAGACCUUCGGGUCUAGUGGCGCACGGGUGCGUAACGCGUGGGAAUCUGCCCUUGGGUUCGGAAUAACAGUUAGAAAUGACUGCUAAUACCGGAUGAUGUCUUCGGACCAAAGAUUUAUCGCCCAGGGAUGAGCCCGCGUAGGAUUAGGUAGUUGGUGGGGUAAAGGCCUACCAAGCCGACGAUCCUUAGCUGGUCUGAGAGGAUGAUCAGCCACACUGGGACUGAGACACGGCCCAGACUCCUACGGGAGGCAGCAGUGGGGAAUAUUGGACAAUGGAGGAAACUCUGAUCCAGCCAUGCCGCGUGAGUGAUGAAGGCCUUCGGGUUGUAAAGCUCUUUCGGGUGUGAAAAUGAUGAUGGUAACACCAGAAGAAGCCCCGGCUAACUCCGU